UGGGGAAUUUUGGACAAUGGGCGAAAAGCCUGAUCCAGCAAUGCCGCGUGUGUGAAGAAGGCCUUCGGGUUGUAAAGCACUUUUGUCCGGAAAGAAAUCCUUGGCUCUAAUACAGUCGGGGGAUGACGGUACCGGAAGAAUAAGCACCGGCUAACUACGUGCCAGCAGCCGCGGUAAUACGUAGGGUGCAAGCGUUAAUCGGAAUUACUGGGCGUAAAGCGUGCGCAGGCGGUUUGCUAAGACCGAUGUGAAAUCCCCGGGCUCAACCUGGGAACUGCAUUGGUGACUGGCAGGCUAGAGUAUGGCAGAGGGGGGUAGAAUUCCACGUGUAGCAGUGAAAUGCGUAGAGAUGUGGAGGAAUACCGAUGGCGAAGGCAGCCCCCUGGGCCAAUACUGACGCUCAUGCACGAAAAGCGUGGGGAGCAAAACAGGAUUAGAUACCCUGGUAGUCCACGCCCUAAAACGAUGUCAACUAGUUGUUGGGGAUUCAUUUCCUUAGUAACGUAGCUAACGCGUGAAGUUGACCGCCUGGGGAGUACGGUCGCAAGAUUAAAACUCAAAUGAAUUG
rnacentral:rRNA from 1 species